rnacentral:lncRNA from 1 species
CUUUAUAAAGGCAUACAAUGAUAUAUACACGUACAUGAAUUCAUUCUUUGGCAAUUUUACCAUUCUUAUAUGGGAACCUGGAUAUGUAUUAUCCAUUGUAUAUAAGUAUCCUGGUAAUAUUUUGUAUGAAUCAGCCGGUUCACCUCUAAGAAAAUUCAUUGCCUUUUCUUUAGCCCUCCACGCCAACAUGUAGCUAACAUCAACACCUAAAUCUGAUUUCACAUCAUCAAUAAUGUCCCUCGGAGUGUAUUUCCUCUUAUGGUUUGUAAGCUUUGUCCUUAUAAUACCACCUAUAGGGCUGCUACUAGCCUGCCGCUGCUCGUACACCUUGUCCUUUAGCGGACAUGUAUGGUUAUCAUUGAUUUCUCUCACCUUGAAUAUUUCUGAUUUGUUAUGCUUGAAUCCUUAAAC